AGGAAGAAAAGAGCAAUUAGCCAAGUACUCUCCAAUCGAAAAUCCAAAAAAAUUACAACUCCUCCCUCUUCAAAAGCUGUUGAAGUUUAGGGGCCAUUUAAGAAGGUGUACAUCUACGUGAAACUUGGCGCCAAAGAGAAGAGGGAUCUGCGAUGGGCCAAGCAAGGUGCAAAAGAUUACCCCAUCCAUACCUUUUCUGCUGAAGACUUCAGAAGUAUGAUAGAUAUGCG
rnacentral:lncRNA from 1 species